UACAGAGGGUGCAAGCGUUGUUCGGAAUUAUUGGGCGUAAAGCGCGUGUAGGCGGCAUAGCAAGUCGGGUGUGAAAGCCCUCAGCUCAACUGAGGAAGUGCGCCCGAAACUGCUGUGCUUGAGUGCCGGAGAGGGUGGCGGAAUUCCCCAAGUAGAGGUGAAGUUCGUAGAUAUGGGGAGGAACACCGGUGGCGAAGGCGGCCACCUGGACGGUAACUGACGCUGAGACGCGAAAGCGUGGGGAGCAAACAGG
rnacentral:rRNA from 1 species